UAGUGGGCGGAGCUUGUGGCUGUGUUUGGGAGCGGAGAGCAGCAGAUUGAACCAGGCGGCUCAGCAGCAGCUAAACUCCUGCAGAAACAUGAACAAAAUGUGGACAAAGGACAGUUUAACCACUUGUGUGACACUCUAAAGCGUCUUAAAUGAGGUUCAGUCAGUGAAGACUGCACGACUACUGAACUCGUUUUUGUUGGAAAGAUCAGUAAUAACAGCAUGGAUCUGAACUGGGCUGAACUGGGAGGUGUUGGGAAUGACUGCAGUGGCCCCACUAAAAGCUGACGAGAUCCCAGUCACAGACCUACAGCACCACAUGCAUUGUAAACUACUGAAAGACGCUUGUCGAGCCGCCGCUGACUGAUCACAGACCAGUCACAGUCAUCUGGCAAAUAUUUGGCAUGCUGGAUAUCUGACCCAGUCAGCGACUUGGAGUCAGAAGGAGCAGCAUUUAUGGAAGUCCCCUGCGACUCUCAGAAAGGAGGAGAGAGAUGAACAAACCUUCACUGCGAGCAGCGGGCGGCUGACCGUUUCUCAAAAACCAACAACACAGAACACGGCUGAGGAGUGGAGCUGGAUUCUGAAUCGGUUAUGACCCAGUCUGGAAAGUAGGUCUCUGCCCCCCCCACCCCACCCCUCCAGCGUCUCCAGUGCCAGGCGCUGUGUGCGAGUGAUUUGAGACAACACUUCUUCUCGAGCAAGCCUCCUCCCCGGAGAACGUGAUGUCAGCGUUGCAUUAUGGGAGCGUUUAGUCAUGCAUGCGUAACAGUGUGUUGAGCUGUGAGGCCAAUUUGCUGCAGAGCCUGAAGACGUGAAGCCGUUUCAGGACUCGAGGCGGUAAAUGUUGACUCAGUCAAGCUGCUCGAACACUCAGGAGUUACCGAGUCAACCCGAGUGCUCCUGUCAUUUUAUAGGUAAGUGGUUUUGCACUCACAGUGAGAUCAUCAUCACCAUGAGACCCUCUUCAUCAAAUCCUCACUGGAAAUACUGUUCAAAAAGUUCCAAAAUAAGAGAGAAAUUCUUAUGUUUUAGGAUUAUCUGAACUAGCUACACAAAACUCCACUUCCCAGCAUGCACCCAUGGAUCAUUACGUUACGCUUCGGCGUUCCCACUCCCCUUCAAGAUUCUGAUUGUUUUCACCUGACAUCCUAUGUAUAUAUACCCCUAAUGUGUGUGUGUGUGUGUGUGUGUGUUAAUAUAGUAGGUACCCAGCCAACAAAUAUCACUCAUUUGUUUGCCUACAAGACGCCAGGUCAGCCAAAACAUUAAGUACACACAAAAAACUCACCAAUCAGAUGGCCUAUUAUUGUGAAUUACUUUCACAUUGAAGGACAGCAUUUAAAAAAUGCUUUUUAAUAUAAUACGACACAAUAUCCGUCUCAUUUACCGUCACAAUUCCAUGAUAGUUCGCUAACUAUUGAAUUAAUCCAGCAUGAGCCCCGUUUUACACUAGACAGCCAUGGCCCCGCCCCCGGAGUGAAAAUCAUGAAUCUGAUUGGUUAGAUUGUCCUACUACGACUUUGCUAAUAGCCUCAUUACUACACCCUUCAAAAAAUCAGGAGAUGGGUCAUGCAAACACACAGGGGAGGAGCCAUUUUAAAAAGCAGUUUUGAUUGGUUAGAACUGCUAUCAGUCAGAUAAGAGUCCUGUAGCAAAUAAAAACGCAGACUAAUGCUUUGAAUUAGUUGCUGUUUUUUAUUUUAGUUAAUUUAGUUAAAUUGUAUUUCGUGUCAAAAACAGUGGCAGAUUCAGGCUUAAUGUAGGGUAGAAAAAGGAGCACUUUCACCUGUUCAGUACAGUAUAAUACUAAAAACCUACUGCAGAUAAUUCAGAAUGUUCUAUUGAUUCACGCCCCACUUAAAAAACAGUCCAACAUAAUUUUUCAACCUAAUAACUCGUGCAUCUGCAGCAUAUGGCCAUUUAACAUGGACGAUAUUUGAAAUGCAUUUCUUAUUUCUAAAUUAACUAAUAGAAAACUCUUUGAAACACUCCGAUGCGCCACCAUCUGCCCACUGUUUACUCUGUUUUUGUUUGUUUUUGCUGUCAAAAAUCUUAAUUUCUCAAUAUAUCUUGGUUCUUCUCAAGGUUGCUUUUUCUCACUCUAAGAGUCUUUCCACUCUCAAAAUGAUUUAG